UACGUAGGGGGCUAGCGUUGACCGGAAUUACUGGGCGUAAAGGGUGCGUAGGCGGCGCCUUAAGUCAGAUGUGAAAUAUCCAGGCUUAACCUGGAGGGUGCAUCUGAUACUGGGGUGCUUGAGUGCAGGAGAGGAAAGUGGAAUUCCUAGUGUAGCGGUGAAAUGCGUAGAUAUUAGGAGGAACACCAGUGGCGAAGGCGACUUUCUGGACUGUAACUGACGCUGAGGCACGAAAGCGUGGGGAGCAAACAGGAUUAGAUACCCUGGUAGUCCACGCUGUAAACGAUGGAUACUAGGUGUAGGGGGCGAUAGCUCUUUGUGCCGCAGCAAACGCAAUAAGUGUCCCGCCUGGGGAGUACGAUCGCAAGGUUGAA
rnacentral:rRNA from 1 species